GAUGAACGCUGGCGGCGUGCCUAAUACAUGCAAGUCGUGCGGAAAGGCCACUUCGGUGGUACUCGAGCGGCGGACGGCGGAGUAACGCGUAGGAACAUACCCCAAACUGAGGCAUAACUGCUCGAAAGAGCAGCUAAUACCGCAUGUGAUCAUCGGAUUAAAGCUUCGGCGGUUUGGGAAUGGCCUGCGUCCGAUUAGCUAGUUGGUGAGGUAAAUGCUCACCAAGGCUUCGAUCGGUAGCUGGUCUGAGAGGAUGAUCAGCCUGGCUGGAACUGAGAACGGUCCAGACUCCUACGGGAGGCAGCAGUAGGGAAUUUUCCACAAUGGGCGAAAGCCUGAUGGAGCAACGCCGCGUGCAGGAUGAAUGCCUUCGGUUGUAAACUGCUUUUAUUAGUGAAGAAUAUGACGGUAACUAAUAGAAUAAAGGGUCGGGCUAACUAACGUGCCAGCAGCCGCGGU
rnacentral:rRNA from 1 species